rnacentral:lncRNA from 1 species
AUUGCAACUUAAACUGAAAUGUUUAUGGCUUGUGAGUAUUUUUACUCUUCAGUAUUUUUGUUUUUGUUUUUUAUUUGGCAUGUUUGGUGAAAACAGAUUUCGUUUCUUUUCGUUUUAUUUGUUUUUAAGCAGCAAAACCUGUAAAAACUGACAUAUUUGUCAUUCACAUGGUCGGUAAAUUCAUUUCCUUGACAAUUAUGUACACAUCCGGUUAUUUCGGUAUGUUCCGUAAUUACGAUCAUUCACGAGGUUCCAAAAAUUUGAUCGGAACCCAUGCAUCCAUAAGACAUGUAGUUAAUUAACAGAUACUUAACGAUUUUGCUGCAUCGCACUAUAAACGUUUGAAGUCCGCUUGUUGGAGUUCCUGUCAAUAUAAUACUUCCAUG